AUUGAACGCUGGCGGCAUGCUUUACACAUGCAAGUCGAGCGGCAGCGCGGGGGCAACCCUGGCGGCGAGCGGCGAACGGGUGAGUAAUGCAUCGGAACGUAUCCUCGAGUGGGGGAUAACCCAGCGAAAGUUGGGCUAAUACCGCAUGAGCUCUGAGGAGGAAGGCGGGGGACCUGCGAGGGCCUCGCGCUGGAGGAGCGGCCGAUGUCCGAUUAGCUAGUUGGUGGGGUAAAGGCUUACCAAGGCGACGAUCGGUAGCUGGUCUGAGAGGAUGAUCAGCCACACUGGGACUGAGACACGGCCCAGACUCCUACGGGAGGCAGCAGUGGGGAAUUUUGGACAAUGGGGGCAACCCUGAUCCAGCCAUGCCGCGUGAGUGAAGAAGGCCUUCGGGUUGUAAAGCUCUUUCGGACGGAACGAAAUGGGCGGGACUAAUACUCCUGUCUGAUGACGGUACCGUAAGAAGAAGCACCGGCUAACUACGUG
rnacentral:rRNA from 1 species